rnacentral:rRNA from 1 species
UACAGAGGUGGCAAGCGUUGGUCGGAUUUACUGGGCGUAAAGGGCGCGUAGGCGGCGCGGUAAGUCACUUGUGAAAUCUCUGAGCUUAACUCAGAACGGCCAAGUGAUACUGCAGUGCUAGAGUGUGGAAGGGGCAAUCGGAAUUCUUGGUGUAGCGGUGAAAUGCGUAGAUAUCAAGAGGAACGCCUGAGGUGAAGACGGGUUGCUGGGCCAGCACUGACGCUGAUGCGCGAAAGCCAGGGGAGCAAACGGG